GGAACUCUGAAGUGAUCUGGCUGAGACAUCUCUAAUCCCAUUGGUUGCCUGGUUUCACUUAGAGGAUUCGCAUGGAUAGGUGGGAGUUCCCUUCCUCCCUCAAUGCUCUGCUCCAAGUGCAUCCUGAAUGAAGAUGAACUGUCCAUUAAAGAGGAGGCUCUUCCCUGAUGAAGUAAGAUCAUUUUUGGGUCCAGGGUACAACAGGAGCUGCACUUCUCCACCGAAACCUCAGAACAAGGUCUCAAAGGGCUGUGUUGGAAACUAUGCCCUCAUGUAAGAUAGCACAGUAAUUCUCUCCAAUGUAGGGGUUUU
rnacentral:snRNA from 1 species